UACGAAGGGGGCGAGCGUUGUUCGGAAUUACUGGGCGUAAAGAGCGCGCAGGCGGUCGUUCAAGUCGCGUGUGAAAGCCCCCGGCUCAACUGGGGAGGGUCACGCGAUACUGAUCGACUGGAAGGCAGGAGAGGGUAGUGGAAUUCCCGGUGUAGUGGUGAAAUGCGUAGAUAUCGGGAGGAAUACCAGUGGCGAAGGCGGCUUCCUGGCCUGUUCUUGACGCUGAGGCGCGAAAGCUAGGGUAGCAAACGGG
rnacentral:rRNA from 1 species